AACGAACGCUGGCGGCAGGCCUAACACAUGCAAGUCGAGCGGGUCCUUCGGGACUAGCGGCGGACGGGUUAGUAACGCGUGGGAACGUGCCCAAAGGUACGGAAUAGCCUCGGGAAACUGAGAGUAAUACCGUAUGUGCCCCUCGGGGGAAAGAUUUAUCGCCUUUGGAUCGGCCCGCGUUGGAUUAGGUAGUUGGUGGGGUAAUGGCCUACCAAGCCGACGAUCCAUAGCUGGUUGGAGAGGAUGAUCAGCAACACUGGGACUGAGACACGGCCCAGGCUCCUACGGGAGGCAGCAGUGGGGAAUCUUAGACAAUGGGGGAAACCCUGAUCUAGCCAUGCCGCGUGGACGAUGAAGGCCUUAGGGUUGUAAAGUCCUUUCAGCUGGGAAGAUAAUGACGGUACCAGCAGAAGAAGCCCCGGCUAACUCCGUGCCAGCAGCCGCCGUAACAC
rnacentral:rRNA from 1 species